CCUACGGGUGGCAGCAGUGAGGAAUAUUGGUCAAUGGCCGAAAGCCUGAACCAGCCAAGUCGCGUGAGGGAUGAAGGAUCUAUGGUUUGUACACUUCUUUUAUAUGGGAGUAAAGUGAGGCACGUGUUCCUUUUUGUGUGUACCAUAUGAAUAAGCAUCGGCUAACUCCGUGCCAGCAGCCGCGGUAAUACGGAGGAUGCGAGCGUUAUCCGGAUUUAUUGGGUUUAAAGGGUGCGUAGGUGGGUAAUUAAGUCAGCGGUGAAAGUUUGUGGCUCAACCAUAUAAGUGCCGUUGAAACUGGUUGUCUUGAGUAUACGUGACGUAUGCGGAAUGCGUGGUGUAGCGGUGAAAUGCAUAGAUAUCACGCAGAACUCCGAUUGCGAAGGCAGCUUACCAACCUAUAACUGACACUGAAGCACGAAAGCGUGGGUAUCAAACAGGAUUAGAUACCCGUGUAGUC
rnacentral:rRNA from 1 species